UACGGAGGGUGCAAGCGUUAUCCGGAUUCACUGGGUUUAAAGGGUGCGUAGGUGGGCUGGUAAGUCAGUGGUGAAAUCCCCGAGCUUAACUUGGGAACUGCCAUUGAUACUAUCAGUCUUGAAUACUGUGGAGGUUAGCGGAAUAUGUCAUGUAGCGGUGAAAUGCUUAGAUAUGACAUAGAACACCAAUUGCGAAGGCAGCUGGCUACACAAUUAUUGACACUGAGGCACGAAAGCGUGGGGAGCAAACAGG
rnacentral:rRNA from 1 species